rnacentral:rRNA from 1 species
CCCUUAGAUGUUCUGGGCCGCACGCGUGCUACACUGAGUGGAUCAGCGGGUCAGGUUGCGCGAAAGUGUUUCCUAAUCUUUAAAUCCGCUCGUGAUGGGGAUUGACGGUUGCAAUUUUCUGUCAUGAACGAGGAAUACCUUGUAAGCGCGGGUCAUCAUCCCGCGCUGAAUACGUCCCUGCCCUUUGUACACACCGCCCGUCGCUCCUACCGAUUGAGUGGUCCGGUGAGGCUUUGGGAUCUGAGCGGAAAGAGCGUUUCGCUGUUUCUGCUCGGAAAACUCAGUCGAACCUUAUCAUUUAGAGGAAGGAGAAGUCGUAACA